rnacentral:rRNA from 1 species
UCGCCUGUUUAUCAAAAACAUUUCUUUUUGGAGUAUAUAAAAAGUAAGACCUGCCCUAUGACAAUUAAAUGGCCGCAGUAAUAUGACUGUGCUAAGGUAGCAUAAUAAUUUGUCCUUUAAAUGAGGACUGGAAUGAAUGGUUCUAUGGAAAUAAAUUAAUGAUUUUAUUAUAAUAUGAAUUUAAUGUUUAAGUUAAAAUUCUUAAAUAAACCUAAAAGACGAGAAGACCCUGUGGAUCUUUACUACUUAGCACUUAUGGUUGUUAAAAAAUUAAGCUUAAAGGUAGUUUGAUUGGGACGAUUCUUCAUUUAACUGAAGUUAAUAAAAUUAUUUUUGAUCCUACUUAAGGAAAUAAGAUUAAGUUACCCCAGGGAUAACAGCGUUAUAUUACCGGAUAGUUCAUAUUGAUGGUAAUGUUUGCGACCUCGAUGUUGAAUUAAAAUUUCUUUGUGAAGCAGAAGUCACGAGAAGUUAGUCUGUUCGACUAUAAAAAUUUUACAUGAUCUGAGUUCAA